AUUAGGCCAGGCCGCACCUUCCGGUACGCCUACUUUGUUACGACUUACUCCAGGUUUUACCCCGCAGGUGACGGGCGAUGUGUACGCAAUUUAGAGCUAACUUCAUAAAAGUUUUCUGCUCUCUUAUUACUAUUAAGUCCUAUUUUAAUUAUUAAUUUCAAAAAAAUAUUCAUCUCUCAUUUUAUAAUUAUUAAGUUAAUACUGUAGCCCAUUCUCACCUUUUUAUUAGCUCCAUCUCGAUCUGACAUCUAACUUUUUAGUAUUAUAGGCUUCUAGUUUACAAUGAAGACUUAAUGACGAUGAUAUAGAGGCUGAAAUUUUCAAAAAAAGGUUAGGUAUAUUGUGGAUUAUCAUUUUAUUCAAACAAGCUCCCCUAAUAAGAAUUAAAUUACCGCCAAGUCCUUUGUUUCUCAAAGAUGUCCUUCUUACUCCACCAGCAUAAAUUUUUGUUCUAAGAAUAACGGGAUAUCAAAGCCCGGUUUGCCCCUUAGUCUUAGCAGUUUCUCCUAUAUAAGAAAACCAAAGUGAAAUAUAUUUCCACAUAUGUUCUUCACGCUUUUAAUCUUUUAAUAAGGAUUUCUGUCUUAAGCUACCUAAUAUAUUGAAAAGACCGUCCGUUUAACCGCGGCUGCUGGCACGGUAUCUUCGCCAGUCUUUAUUAAAUAUAAUUUAAUCACCUCUUCAGGUAAGGUUAAAUAUUUAUUACUGCAGGUGUGAUGCUACUUAAUAGUUAUGUUAUUUACAAUUAGAUUAUUAAUCUUCCGACUCACUUGAAAGGUUUUAUUAAAUAAAAUUUUCAAUUCUCUCGGAUCCUCACCGGGGCGCUAAAGAAACUCGCAUGUAUAACUCUCUCAAAUUUCAAGAAUAAAAACCAGGACCAAAUUCAUU
rnacentral:rRNA from 1 species